rnacentral:lncRNA from 1 species
CUGCUUCCUUCCUCUGACUCGCCUCCUCCCCGACCACUAUGCCGCCACCUCCACCCUAGUCCUCUCUUAGUCGCCCGACACUUCGGCUUAAUGCAGGGUGGAGGACGCGAGAUCUGCUGUUGGUAAUGUCGCUUGCUCCCCACCCCUUUUCCUCUUCUAUGAUAUUCAUGUUCGGUACUUGCCUGGGUUCGUCUAAUUUUGUGUGUUGGUCAGAGGGGGAGAGAAGUCUAGGAGGAGUAGCUCCGAUCGAUUCGUAGCUAGCUAGAGAACGCCAACAGUUGUGUUCAUCUGAUUUUGUUCGAUCGAUUCAUAGCUUGGCUCCUAGCGCCUCAGGUCGCGUCAGUCAGCCAGCACGCUAGUAACCGACCGGUAUUGAUUUGAAGAGCACAGAUCUUGCCCCCAGUCUGCGGCUUUUUCACUUGCAUCACUAAUAUGACAUGAAAGACUGAAAAACAAGUCAAUUGAGGACUAGCUUAGCGGCCCUGGGCGAUUUUGUUUACUGGGGUGCUGAAUUUUUUUCACUUUUUCAAGUUAUGGAGGAGCUCAAGUUUCUCACUUGGAGAGUCAAGGUGUUUGAAUUGUUUUGUUUUUGUGGUCGUGUCAAGUUAAAGUAAGAAGAUGUUGUUAGCUAGUCUUUGCUCCCUGUUCAUUCUGUUGUGUCAGUGGAAGGGGUGCUCUGAAUGAUGGAGAUGGAGACUGAUGGAUGUCUGGUCUGCUAGGCUAUGUUGUUCUGAGAUUGUGUGGUCCUGUUCUGCAGCAGUAGAUAUGUAGGCUGCAUCCGGUCUGUAGCACCAACAACAGACUUGAAAUCUAGAAGCAGUAAGCACUGAACCUGUAACUGUUUGAGCAUCCAAGCCGGUAGGUGCUGCAUUCAGCACCGGCUUAGGAAACCAUAUGUUUCUUCUCUGGUUAGAACAAAUCUGGGGGAAAAGAUAGAGAGGUGUAGGAAGAAGAGGCAGAGAGUAGCAUCCUUAUUUGUUGCAUUUCCAGUGUGGUCAUGAUAGGUAUUUUUGUACGUAGAGAACACUCUUCAUUAGGUCGCAUAGAAGAUUUAACAAUUGUUGGGUUGUUAUUGGAGUAACAAUUUUACUGAAUGUUCCUCCGGGGAGGAGAAAAAGAGAGAGAUGGUGGAAUCUGCGUUCGGCGAGGAGGGUUCCAAGAGGCACUGCUACGAAGUUGACGGUGGAAGAUCUCAUAUACCUCUUCAUCGUGUGAUGGCAGCUUGUAAUCAUCCAUAGGGCUGAUGACUAUUGUUGUGACAAUCCUAAUGGACAGGCUAGGGUACAGUUGUUGAUCACAGUCCACCACAGUUUAUGCAGUAGUAGGCAUUUUGGAGCUGAGGUAGCAGUGUAUGUUUAUGGUCCUAAUAAGUCCUAACCAUGACUGGCCUGACUAUCUUGUAGCUAUUCUCAUGAGUUGGAGCUUGUCCUCAGACUUUCGCCGCAACUCGGCAAACAGUUAAAUCUGGGAACUGAAGGAACUGUUAAUAUGUAAUUCCACUUCAGGCUUGUUCGUUUUGGUGAUAAUCCACAUGUAUUGGGUGGGAUUGAGCCGGUUUAAAUCCAUAACAAGUCAAAAUCCACCCCAAUC